rnacentral:tRNA from 1 species
UUCCCUGUGGCUCAGUUGGUAGAGCAUGGUGUUUGCAACGCCAGGGUUGUGGGUUCGAUUCCCACAGGGGGGC